GAAAUGCGAUAAGUAAUGUGAAUUGCAGAAUUCAGUGAAUCAUCGAAUCUUUGCACGCACCUUGCGCUCCUUGGUAUUCCUUGGAGCAUGCCUGUUUGAGUAUCAUGAAAUCUUCAAAGUAAAUCUUUUGUUAACUCAAUUGGUUUCUACUUUGGUAUUGGAGGUCUUUGCAGCUUCACACCUGCUCCUCUUUGUUCAUUAGCUGGAUCUCAGUGUUAUGCUUGGUUCCACUCGGCGUGAUAAGUUAUCUAUCGCUGAGGACACUGUAAAAGGUGGCCAAGGUAAAUGCAGAUGAACCGCUUCUAAUAGUCCAUUGACUUGGACAAUACUUUUAUGAUCUGAUCUCAAAUCAGGUAGGACUACCCGCUGAACUUAAGC
rnacentral:misc_RNA from 1 species